CCUACGGGUGGCAGCAGUGAGGAAUAUUGGUCAAUGGGCGCGAGCCUGAACCAGCCAAGUAGCGUGAAGGAUGACUGCCCUACGGGUUGUAAACUUCUUUUAUAAAGGAAUAAAGUGAGGCACGUUUGCCUUUUUGUAUGUACUUUAUGAAUAAGGAUCGGCGAACUCCGUGCCAGCAGCCGCGGUAAUACGGAGGAUCCGAGAGUUAUCCGGAUUUAUUGUGUUUAAAGGGAGCGUAGAUGGGUUGUUAAGUAAGUUGCGAAAGUUUGCGGCUAAACCGUAAAAUUGCAAUUGAUACUGGCAGCCUUGAGUACAGUUGAGGUAGGCGGAAUUCGUGGUGUAGCGGUGAAAUGCUUAGAUAUCACGAAGAACUCCGAUUGCGAAGGCAGCUUACUAAACUGCCACUGACAUUGAUGCUCGAAAGUGUGGGUAGCAAACAGGAUUAGAUACCCCUGUAGUC
rnacentral:rRNA from 1 species